rnacentral:rRNA from 1 species
UGGGGAAUAUUGCACAAUGGGCGCAAGCCUGAUGCAGCGACGCCGCGUGAGGGAUGACGGCCUUCGGGUUGUAAACCUCUUUCAAUAGGGACGAAGCGCAAGUGACGGUACCUAUAGAAGAAGGACCGGCCAACUACGUGCCAGCAGCCGCGGUAAUACGUAGGGUCCGAGCGUUGUCCGGAAUUACUGGGCGUAAAGAGCUCGUAGGUGGUUUGUCGCGUUGUUCGUGAAAACUCACAGCUUAACUGUGGGCGUGCGGGCGAUACGGGCAGACUAGAGUACUGCAGGGGAGACUGGAAUUCCUGGUGUAGCGGUGGAAUGCGCAGAUAUCAGGAGGAACACCGGUGGCGAAGGCGGGUCUCUGGGCAGCAACUGACGCUGAGGAGCGAAAGCGUGGGGAGCGAACA